GGCCGUCUAGCUCAGUUGGUUAGAGCGUCGUGCUAAUAUUGAAUUUCCGCUAUCCAUAUUACGCGAAGGUCUUGGGUUCGACCCCCACGAUGGCCA